rnacentral:tRNA from 1 species
GGAGAGGUGGCCGAGUGGCUGAAGGCGCGGGUCUCGAAAACCCGUUCCCGAUUUAUCGGGACGAGAGUUCGAAUCUCUCCCUCUCCU